AGUGAUGUAGCUCGGUUGGUAAAGUGUUUACCUAUCAUACACAAGGUUCUAGGUUCAACUCCCGGCACCACAC
rnacentral:tRNA from 1 species